rnacentral:rRNA from 1 species
AUUGAACGCUGGCGGCAGGCCUAACACAUGCAAGUCGAACGAGUGGCGGACGGGUGAGUAAUGUCUGGGAAUCUGCCCGAUGGAGGGGGAUAACUACUGGAAACGGUAGCUAAUACCGCAUACCAUCGGAUGUGCCCAGAUGGGAUUAGCUAGUGGGUGGGGUAACGGCUCACCUAGGCGACGAUCCCUAGCUGGUCUGAGAGGAUGACCAGCAACAAUGGAACUGAGACACGGGCCAGACUCCUACGGGAGGCAGCAGUGGGGAAGAUUGCACAAUGGGCGCAAGCCUGAUGCAGCCAUGCCGCGUGUAUGAAGAAGGUCUUAGGGUUGUAAAGUACUUUCAGCGGGGAGGCGUUACCCGCAGAAGAAGCACCGGCUAACUCCGUGCCAGCCGCCGCGGUAAUAC